rnacentral:rRNA from 1 species
UACGAAGGGGGCUAGCGUUGCUCGGAAUUACUGGGCGUAAAGGGAGCGUAGGCGGGUUAUCAAGUUGGGGGUGAAAGCCCGGGGCUCAACCUCGGAAUUGCCUUCAAAACUGGUAGCCCAGAGUAUGAUAGAGGUAUGUGGAACUCCGAGUGUAGAGGUGAAAUUCGUAGAUAUUCGGAAGAACACCAGUGGCGAAGGCGACAUACUGGGUCAUGACUGACGCUGAGGCUCGAAAGCGUGGGGAGCAAACAGG